rnacentral:tRNA from 1 species
GGGGUUGUGGCUCAGUGGUAGAGUGCUUGCCUAGCAUGCACGAGGCCUUGGGUUUGAUCCUCAACACCACA